rnacentral:rRNA from 1 species
UAAUACUAGGGGUGCAAGCGUUGUCCGGGAUCAUUGGGCGUAAAGGGUGCGUAGGCGUCCAGGAAAGUUAUUUGUUAAAUCCUUCGGCUUAACCGGAGAAAUGCAAGUAAAACUAUCUGGAUAGAGUUUAAGAGAGGAAAAUGGAAUUCCUGGUGUAGCGGUGACAUGCGUAGAUAUCAGGAGGAACACCUAUGGCGAAGGCAGUUUUCUGGCUUAAAACUGACGCUGAGGCACGAAAGCGUGGGGAGCAAACAGGAUUAGAUACCCUGGUAGUCCACGCCGUAAACGAUGAGCACUUGGUGCCGGAGGAUUCGACCCCCUCGGUGCCGUAGCUAACGCGUUAAGUGUUCCGCCUGGGGACUACGACCGCAAGGUUG